UCGUAACAAGGUUUCCGUAGGUGAACCUGCGGAAGGAUCAUUACCUAGAGUUGUAGGCUUUGCCUACCAUCUCUUACCCAUGUCUUUUGAGUACCUUCGUUUCCUCGGCGGGUCCGCCCGCCGAUUGGACAAACUUAAACCCUUUGUAAUUGAAAUCAGCGUCUGAAAAAACAUAAUAGUUACAACUUUCAACAACGGAUCUCUUGGUUCUGGCAUCGAUGAAGAACGCAGCGAAAUGCGAUAAGUAGUGUGAAUUGCAGAAUUCAGUGAAUCAUCGAAUCUUUGAACGCACAUUGCGCCCCUUGGUAUUCCAUGGGGCAUGCCUGUUCGAGCGUCAUUUGUACCUUCAAGCUCUGCUUGGUGUUGGGUGUUUGUCUCGCCUCUGCGUGUAGACUCGCCUUAAAACAAUUGGCAGCCGGCGUAUUGAUUUCGGAGCGCAGUACAUCUCGCGCUUUGCACUCAUAACGACGACGUCCAAAAAGUACUUUUUACACUCUUGACCUCGGAUCAGGUAGGGAUACCCGCUGAACUUA
rnacentral:rRNA from 1 species